rnacentral:rRNA from 1 species
UACGUAGGGUGCGAGCGUUGUCCGGAAUUAUUGGGCGUAAAGAGCUUGUAGGCGGUUUGUCGCGUCUGCUGUGAAAAUCCGGGGCUCAACCCCGGACUUGCAGUGGGUACGGGCAGACUAGAGGCAGGUAGGGGAGAAUGGAAUUCCCGGUGUAGCGGUGAAAUGCGCAGAUAUCGGGAAGAACACCCGUGGCGAAGGCGGCUCUCUGGGACGGUACUGACGCUGAGACGCGAAAGCGUGGGGAGCGAACAGG